rnacentral:misc_RNA from 1 species
UGGUGUUUGGAUUGCCUCUGCCGGCUGGCUCCGUGCUCGCGCACCGAACGGUCGGCAUUCAAUCCGUGUCCCUUGUCGUGAGGUGGGAUGGUGCCUCGGAGGCGGGUUCUUGUGCUGCCUACCCCUCCGGGGGAAGCGAGGCCGCUUUGUCGGUUUGCCUCCNUCCUGCGCCUUCCAAAGGGCGCAGGAGGACAACGAAGCACCCCCNGUGUUCCACCGAGCCUUUGAUCGGUCGCGUGGCCCUCGGGGUCGUGCAAUGCUCCCGGACCCAGCGCAUGCGGCGGGCGAGGACUCGUCGUCGCCCUAAGAGUAUAAGCUUCGGUAUGAUGUACGACGGCCGCCCCCGCCGACCCGGCCGCUUAGGCGGUGCGGGGGUGGC